UGCUAUGAUUGGUCAGGUUGCUGGAGGAGGAAGAACAGAGAAGCCUCUUCUCAAGGCAGGUAAUGCUUACCACAAGUUCCGUGUCAAGCGUAACUGCUGGCCCAAGGUACGUGGUGUUGCUAUGAAUCCAGUUGAACAUCCCCAUGGUGGUGGUAACCAUCAACACAUUGGUCACGCCAGUACUGUCCGCCGUGAUGCCCCGCCUGGUCAAAAGGUUGGUCUCAUUGCUGCCAGAAGAACUGGUCGGCUCCGAGGACAGGCUGCUGCUACUGCUGCCAAGGCCGACAAGGCUUAGAGCAAUUCAACCUAUUCGCAUAUUUUGCCUAAUCCUUAGAUCCAUUUUCAUUAUGUUUGAUUGGAUUUGCAUUAUGUUGAAGACCAUAUUUAGAAGUUUUUGUCCUGAGUUUUGUUACAAAUGUCCUUUUUGAACAUAAUUGCUCUCUACCUUGUUUCUUGUUGCCAUG
rnacentral:misc_RNA from 1 species